rnacentral:misc_RNA from 1 species
AAAGUGCGAUAACUCAGGUGAAUUGCAACUGGCGCGAAUCCUUGAAACUUUGAACGCAUACUGUGCCCCGGUGUAACAGCCGGGGCGUGUUUGGCUGAGCAUCGAAUACAAAAAACCAUGCCCUCUUGGCGUGAUCGUGGACUUUGAACUUAACUGUGCAUCGUCUUAAAAACAUAGGAGAACUCUGUGGAUUGAUCGUUCUGGGUUUUCGCUGCGAUAGGGGUUGUAUCUCUUUACCAGCUUGCCUGCUCGUGAUGUUCGUGGGGUGAUCCAGGCCGUCGUACUUUCGGUAUCGGACUGUUUCUGGUUCUUUGCCGGGGGAAAGCGAGUCGCUGUUUCUCAACUUCUAGACCUCAGCUCAAGCACGAUUACCCGCUGAAUUUAA